CAAAAAUGUGUAAGAAAGUCUCUAUGUUGUGGGCUGUUCUUUGGGCUGGGCUUUCUUAUCGACUGUUCCCGUCUUUCGCCGGAGAGAGACGAAGCGUGGAGGUCUCUUCCCCAUCCUAGCUCCACAACCCCCCCGCCCCCUUGCUGAACUCCAUUACCAGUGAAUUGUGCAAGUUCAGCUUUGCCUUGAAGCUUUUAUUAAAUGGGCUGGAAAGCAGCUGAGAAACUUAUUAGACACUGGAAAAUUCUUAGAGGAGAUAAUGUAAUGAUUAUUAGGGGUAAGGAUAAAGGUGAAACUGGCAUUAUUAAGCGUGUCAUUCGCUCUCAAAAUCGAGUUAUCGUUGAAGGCAAAAAUCUGGUUAAGAAACAUAUCAAGCAAGGGCAAGGCCAUGAAGGUGGGAUUUUCAGUGUUGAAGCGCCACUUCAUGCUUCCAAUGUUCAAGUUGUCGACCCUGUAACAGGGAAACCAUGUAAGGUUGGAAUCAAAUAUCUAGAAGAUGGUACCAAAGUGCGAGUUUCUAGAGGUGAAGGAACUUCAGGGUCCAUAAUACCUCGCCCUGAGAUCUUGAAGAUAAGGACCACACCAAGGCCUACUGUUGUUGGGAGGACUGGUUGGACUUGAUGAGGGUUAGUGAGCCAACAAGCCCUUGCUAGGGAAUUCCAGUGCCCAGGAGCUGGCCCCAAGGAUACUCCAAUGGAUGCUGCGUUGGAGAAGACUUACGAUGCUAAGAGUGGGAAGGGCAUGCCCGACCUCUGAGCUAAUUAAACCCUCAUUCCAUUGUAUUUGACAAUAGAAAAUGUCAGCUGGAAUAUGCGUGCAAGUAGAAUUAGAAUUCCUGUAGUAACAUCUGCUUGUUUAGUAUUAUAUUGUUGAUGCAUCUUUGUUUUGAA